CCAUCAACUUGAACUAAGUGAUCUCUGAAUUCCUUGGUGAUCCCUAUUAAUAUAAAACUCUUCUGUCAUUACUUGAUGUGGCAUUAAAAGAAACGAUGAGGACUUUUUAAUAAUAUUUAGUUGCCUUUCACUCAAAAACAAUGUGUCUACUCCUAUUUAUGUUUUAGGUUGAAGUAGAUGGGCAGGUUUUAGGAAAAGGGACUGGUUUCACAUGGGAAGAGGCUAAGAUGCAGGUAUACCUUUUGUUCUGUUAUAUUCAGAAAUUUCUUUUGUGUGACAUUAUUUCUUACUGUAUAAUAAUUUUUGCUGACUGGGCUCUUUUAUCUCCCCAUUAGGCUGCUGAAAAGGCCCUUGGAAGUCUAAGAUCAAUGCUCGGUCAAUUUACUCAGAAACGUCAAGGUUCUCCAAGGUACAUGAUCUUUUACUCGUAGGGAAAAGAAAAACCAUUGUUGCUUCAUUUACAUUUUCUUAUUUGGUGCAUCAUUGGUUAUAUAUGGACAAGGUCAUUGCAAGAUAUGCCAAGUAAACGCCUAAAGCCUGAGUUUCCACGUGUUCUACACCGGAUGCCCUCUUCUGGUAGAUAUCACAAGAAUGCUCCUCCGGUUCCUUGAAGACACCUCGAUAUGGUAGAUUUUUCCUCAUUUUAUAGUGUAGCAAUUCUUGUGACAUCUGUACAGUACGCAAUAUGGACUACAAGUGCACAACGGGUGAAGGCCAUCAAGACCUGCAACCCACGUUGACUGUUAAAAACUUCGAGUGUUUCUUGCAUAUGACAUGUCUGAAGCCCAAAAGAUGAGAUGUUUUUAUCAGGGUAACCGAGGAUUUUAAUUCAACAUGCUAUCCUUUCAUGGGGAUAGACAUUCAUUCGGUUUCAAACAAGGUGGCAAAAGGGAGAACGCCAAAUUCACGGUGGAACUCGGUUAAUUCGGGACUUGAGCGCUUAAGCAAAAGGAAGACAAGGUUGAGCUUGUUGCUAUGUAAGAUUCAACAACAGUCAACAUCGUUUACUAACUAUAGCCAAUGUUUCCCUGUUUUUUUAACCAUAGAGUCCAGAGCUGUGGCCUAACUGGGUUUGAUUGCUACAUAUAAAUUGUCAAUCCGUGAGAAAAUUAUUACUCUUCGAAACCGUAGUCAUGAAAUUGGUGAAAUUUGCUUUUAGUACACAGCUGCUGAUGUAUUUACAAUUUUGACCAUCCACGAGUUUGCCUUUUCUAUCAUUUUAUGCCAGUUGCUUAAUCUCAAUGAUGUUUGGAAUGGAUCCGACCGGUUGGUUGGACCCCUGAAUUGGUCGGGAUAUUAUUAAACUGGUUGGAUCAGAAAUUGGUUGAAAUUUUUAUUUUUAUUUUUAUUUUUUGAAUUUCUAAUAAUUUUUUAAUCAGUUCAGUCGAAUUAGUAAACUGAUGGUUUGACCGGUUUGAUUAUUAGUGCAAUUCUAAAAAGAUUGUGUAAUGCAUUGAUGCUGGUUUUUACAUUCUUUUUAAGAAUAUAUAAAAGAAAUAAAGAAAAUCUAAUUAUCCAACCUAACUGGAUUCAUUAUCGAGUUAGAUUUUGAAAAGAAAAAAGUUAAUUGUACCGGAUAUUUUCCAAAUAUAUUAAAAAUAUUUUAAAUUGGUAUUUUAAUUUUAAUUUAUAUCUUUAAACUAUUAAGUUAUAUUAAUUAAGUAUUUUUCAUUAUUAAUACUGCAAAAUUUUGUUAUGAUUUUUUAUUUUAAAUUAUACCAUAUAAGUGUGUUUAAAUAUUUUAUUUUAAAUUAUACCACAAAUUUUGUCUUAUCAUUUAACAAUUAAAUGUCAUUUUAAUAUGUUAAAUUCAAGUUGUUCAUGUGAUUACGUCAAACCUGAUUUAGCUCGAGCUUACAACUAAGCUCACAAAAGAAUUCUUUGUCAUAAACUAAUACUUUAAAGACUUAGUUAGAAUAUUUUUAAAUUUGGAGUUUAGUUUAAAAUCUGAAUCACAAUAUAGGGACCCCUGUUGAAUUUAACCCAAUAAAUAAUGCAUGAAGUUAACUUAAUUCCUGAAGUGAAAACGCAAGUUCACCAAAAAAACAAAAAGUAUCCCGAAACAGCGUCGUUUAGCUGUCUUUCAAUUUUCAAUUAGAAGGAUAAACAAGUAAUUUCAAAUAUUAAUUUUGUUUUUCUUACCAAAAAUCAAGUCCUCGUUGGCCGUCAGCUGUAGGUGUAUAUAAAGGUCAAAAAUAAAGAAAUUAAAAGGAAAGUUCAAGAAAAAAAAAAAGCGAAGCUCUCUCUCUUGUUGUAAGCUAAAAAAAAGGCUCCAUUUUCGAUUCCUUUUUCUCUUAAUUUUCUUUAGAGAAAGAGAGAGAUGGCUUCCUUUGAUGCGUACGGAAUGGAAGGAGAAGAGAUUCAUGCAGCUGCAGCACCUAAUAACCAUCCUUUCGAUGUAGACGACGACGAGAGCUAUUCCAAUUACGGCUCUUACUCUAACUUCACCGACAAUCAGCAAUUCCCGGCCGACGGUGGUGAUGUGGCGGUGGAUCACUUGGCUUCUUCUCCUGAGAUCUUCGGCUUCGGAUCUUCCGAUCCGCCCUCUUCUUUCUCGCAAUCUCCUUUCGGUACUACGAUUCCUGUUGAAAACGGAAACGGAACGAAUGGAUUUAGCGGUGGAAACGACGAUGUUUUCAGUUCUGAUGGUCCUGUGCUUCCUCCUCCUACUGAGAUGGCGCCAGAGGAAGGCUUCCUUCUUCGCGAGUGGCGGCGGUUAGUACUUAGUAGUAAUAAUUUCUUUUUUUCUUUUUUUGUUCAAAUUGAAUCGCUUGAUUUGUCCACUUUUUGUUUGGAUUUGACCGGUUCGUUUGGUUUAGCACUCCUUCUCAGUUUAGAUCUGCUAUGCGUUUGAGUAAGCUAUGAAUUGUUGUUGCAUUGGUUGAACUCUGAUUAACUUGAAUUCAAAUUUGUUAAUGAUCAUUUCGUGUUUCUAGAUCUGCCGAGGUUUUAACUAUCGCGUCAAUCAGCUUGAUUUUCCGUUUCAUUUAUGUUUCUUAUGAAGUUCAAAUUUGUUGAUCUCCCUUGUUAUUAAUUGAAGUUCUUGUUCAACUUAUGUAAGACUUGGUUGAUAUUUAGAUUCUUGUAAUCCGUAAGUGUUCAUUAGCUGUGAUGGAUAAAUGGAGAAACUUAUUGAAUAUUAUCGUUACGUGUAUGAUCUCAUUAGGCAGUAGAUUUAGAAGAUCCAGAUCCACAUUAAUUUUCCAAUCAGGAGAUGUUUGAAUAGUUUUCUGAAUAAAAUAUAAACUAAUCACCUUUACUUAGGCAUUAAUUUCUUUGAAAGAUCAUUUGCAUUAUAUGAGAAAUAUGUUUCAGAGUCAUGAGGUUGUGAGUCUAUAGUUCCAACUUGAUUUCUUGUAGGUUGAAAAAACAUGUUCUCUUCCCGUUUAUUAUAGAUGAGGAGUAAAGUUCUAUAUUUCACAAUGAUAAUACUUACUACUGAGGAUAAACAUUCAAUAAUUACCUUGUUUAUUGAAUAUGAGAAUUUUUUUGUAUCUAUAAAGUCAUAUAAUUUUUGAAAUGCUUUCCUGUGAACCUCUCUUUGAUUUCGAUUCCAAUGACGAUGCACAUAAUGAUCUCAACCUUUGUGGUUUAUACCAUAUUCAUUCAUGACAGAAUUUCCUUAUUUUUUUAUUUUGAUUUUUGCUCAUCUUAAGAAGAUCCAUGAACUAAUGUGCCUGCUAUUCUAAAUCAAAGACCAUCUUGAUUGAUUCUUUGUCUUUUUUUAGAAUGUUUGUUGGUUAAUCUGGAAUAAGUUAUUGUAGUAUCAGUUCUACAUGUACUAAUUUUUUCGAGUUACCUUGUGUUCUUUAUACUAGUUGAGCUAUAGGCCUAUUUAAAGGUCACGUUAUUGUCGGACCAGACAAGAAUUUUCUAGUCCAGUCUGGUCCAGCCCAGCCCAGUUUAUUGUUCAUUUAAUAAAAAAAUAUAAAAUAUUUUAAUAUUUUUAAAUAGUGAAAUGGACUUUUUGGCCUGGCCUUCAUGGCAAGCAGAAGUAAAAUUUUCUUAAUCUAGCUUAACCCAUGAAUACCUCUAAUAAGUUGUAUAUGGUAACCCUUUUCUUUUCUCUUCCUAUACGUAAAUUCUGUUGCUUUUUGGUAUCCAAAAAUUUUGAUUUCUUAUCUUGGUUUUGUCGUCGCAGUCAAAAUGCCAUUCAGCUUGAAGAGAAGGAGAAGAAGGAAAAGGAAUUGAGGAACCAAAUUAUAGAAGAAGCUGAGGAGUACAAGCGAGCAUUCUACGAGAAGCGGGAAAAAACCAUUGAGACCAACAAAACUAACAACAGAGAAAGAGAAAAGGUAAUAUUCUGAACAAAUCGUCUUUUUCUCCAUGCCCGGUCGAUAUGCAGUUAUAUGAUGAUAUCUCACCACUUGAUUUUUUUUUUUGGGCUUGGAGCAGCUAUACGUGGCUAACCAAGAAAAGUUCCAUAAGACUGCUGACACGCACUACUGGACUGCAAUAGCAGAACUCAUCCCCCGUGAGGUCCCUAACAUUGAGAAAAGAGGCAAGAAGGAUGCAGAAAAGAAACCAUCAGUAUUUGUCGUCCAAGGACCGAAACCUGGAAAACCGACCGAUCUUUCAAGAAUGCGACACAUUCUUGUGAAGCUGAAGCAUUCACCUCCACCUCACAUGAUUCCUCCUCCACCCGCUCCAGCAAAGGACACUAAAGAUGGAAAGGAUGCUAAAGAUGGAAAAGACUCGAAAAACGUUGACAAGGCUGCAUCGAACGGAACUGCAGAGAAAGGGGCAACCGUUUCAUCUGCAAAAGAUGGCGCCGCCACCUCCGCUGAACAAGAUGCCGCCGCCACGACCGCUCCCGCCAAGGACCAAACUGUUGCGGAACCAGAGGCAACAGCAGCCUAAUUGCUUACAACACAUUUACCAUGGUUGUUUCCUUGCCCUAUUCUUUUUUGUUUUUGCUCAAGGUUUCGAUUUCAAAUUGCAUUCCCUAUUAACAU
rnacentral:lncRNA from 1 species